GUAGUGGCAUGCAUGUUCUGUUAACCUCAUAGGAAAAUCUUUGAUUUAUUGUUUCCCUUUUAUUUCAUUCCUAAUGGGCAUUCUUUGGAACUAAGGUUGUCUUAUUAAUUUCUUAGAGUUUACCAGAAUUAGGUUUAUGAAUGCUAUUGACAAGUGAUUAAAUGAAGUCCUAGAAUUUAAGAACUGAAGGGACCUUAGAUUUCUGUGCCUGGGUUUAAACCAGGAGAAAUAAGGCUUGUUUACUCCAAAACAUUUGGAAGUUAAUAUAUUUAGAUUACCUGCUGAUGGGAGAGGUAAAGUGUCCUUCAGUGCUUCUCAAACUUCAUUGUGCCUAAGAAUCACAGGAAUCUUUGUAGCCGUGCAAAGCCUUGAGCAGGGACCGCAGGUUGGUGGGGUGCAGCCGGCGUUCCCCUUUGUCUACAUCCCCAGGUCAUUUCUGUGGCCACACUUGGGAGCCAGAGAGCCAGAUUGAUACAGAUGUCUAACUUCCAGAGCGAAGUAAUGAUCUAACAGUUAUAUUGACUGCAUCCAACAUCAGAAGAACAGUUUUCUAAUAGGAUUUUUUUCUUUUAACUGUCAUAUGUGCUCAGUGUCUAAAGAGGACUUACUGUGUGGAAUUUAAGCAAUACCAAAAUAAGGAAAUUUAUUUCUAUUAAAUUGAGGUUUUGGAAAUAGAAUUUUCUGAGUUAAAAAACAAAGGAAUAUUUUUUUCAAGAUUAACUCCUCAUAGAUCAAUCAUCUUUCCUCAGAAAAAGACAAUAAGAGUCAGGUUCCAACUAAAGCUUAAAUCCAGAGAUCUUCCCGCCAGGUUUCCCAGAGGGCUCCUGAGGGAUUUGUGGGAAGAACAGAUGUGUCUGUAUGUGGAAAGUAACUCUGUCCAAUUUCAAAGAAAGCAAGACUUGAGCAUUUGUUUAUUUUUUAAUGGUGAAGAAUUCCCUUUCAGAAUAACUUGUGGGGCUGGUUUCCCUUGGCCUUUCAGUGUAUAGCUUUCCAUCCCACCUAGACUCAAGCAGAAAGUUGUUGCAUGUGCCUCCAUUUCCCAGCCCUUUAACCGGUGUGUAUUUUUUUCAACCCUUUGUUUACCUGGAUGUGAUUGGUCUCUGGGUGACUAUGCUCGACUUAAAUGUUUCAUUUGUAGCAAUUGCUUUACAAAGCUGCAGGGGGCAGCAGAAAGCCGCCAAUAGAUUUACAACAUGGAACUUGCUGGUGUGAAUCUCGUGGCUUUCUCCCCAUUGUCUAUUAAAUACAUGCUCACUGCAGAUUUAUUUAAGAGAAUAUUUUAAAAUAAAUUUAAUAGUCUUCCUUAGAAUGCAGACU